rnacentral:lncRNA from 1 species
GCGCGGUAGCGGAAGCCCUUUCUAGUUCAAGCAGUUCCAAUUCCUAUUCUGCUUCACCGCUUACACCACACUCUAUUGGUUCGCCUUGUGGUGCCUUUCGAUCAAGGUCUACUUGGUUGAUCCACUUUCUUCUACAGCGCGUUAUCCGCAUCGAAGUUAGCCAGGUUCCUACCGCUUCUUGAUAUUAUGGAUUUUGCAAUCCCCG